rnacentral:tRNA from 2 species
UCCCUGGUGGUCCAGUGGCUAAGACUUCCUGCUCCCAGUGCAGGGGGCCCAGGUUCGAUUCCUGGUCAGGGAA